UACGAGGGGGGCAAGCGUUGUUCGGAAUUAUUGGGCGUAAAGGGUGCGUAGGCGGUCUGAUAAGUCAUCUGUGAAAUCUAUGGGCUCAACCCAUAGUCUGCAGGCGAAACUGUCGGGCUUGAGUAUGGGAGAGGUGAGUGGAAUUCCUGGUGUAGCGGUGAAAUGCGCAGAUAUCAGGAGGAACACCGAUGGCGAAGGCAGCUCGCUGGGACGUGACUGACGCUGAGACGCGAAAGCGUGGGGAGCAAACAGG
rnacentral:rRNA from 1 species